rnacentral:rRNA from 1 species
AUUGAACGCUGGCGGCAGGCCUAACACAUGCAAGUCGAACGGUAACAGGAAGCAGCUUGCUGCUUCGCUGACGAGUGGCGGACGGGUGAGUAAUGUCUGGGAAACUGCCUGAUGGAGGGGGAUAACUACUGGAAACGGUAGCUAAUACCGCAUAACGUCGCAAGACCAAAGAGGGGGACUUUAGGGCCUCUUGCCAUCGGAUGUGCCCAGAUGGGAUUAGCUAGUAGGUGGGGUAACGGCUCACCUAGGCGACGAUCCCUAGCUGGUCUGAGAGGAUGACCAGCCACACUGGAACUGAGACACGGUCCAGACUCCUACGGGAGGCAGCAGUGGGGAAUAUUGCACAAUGGGCGCAAGCCUGAUGCAGCCAUGCCGCGUGUAUGAAGAAGGCCUUCGGGUUGUAAAGUACUUUCAGCGGGGAGGAAGGGAGUAAAGUUAAUACCUUUGCUCAUUGACGUUACCCGCAGAAGAAGCACCGGCUAACUCCGUG